CCCUACGGGGCGCGACAACAUCGGCUUUGCCGAUAUCGAGGAUUUCAUUCAGACCGAUGUGCCGAUCAAUCCGGGCAAUUCAGGCGGACCGCUCAUCAAUCUUGAGGGAAAGCUCGUCGGUAUAAAUACCGCGAUACGCUCCGAAUCCGGCGGGUUCCAGGGCAUCAGCUUUGCAAUCCCGUCAAACCUGGUAAAGCGGGUGUACCGCGACCUGGCCAGACAUGGAAGGGUGCGGCGGGGAUGGAUCGGGUUCCUGGUGAAGGAGAUGCGGCGGGGCAUCGGCAGGGAGGACAGCUUGUUAAAGGUGAUCUCGGUGAUAAAGAAUUCCCCGGCGGAGGCGGCAGGCCUUGCGGCAGGGGACAUCAUUAAAAAGGUUGACGGCGAAACGAUUACGACGCUGGAGAGC
rnacentral:rRNA from 1 species